AACAAUUCUCAGAGCAGAUUAGAGCAGACGUUUGAGGUUGCUGCCAUCAGAGAGUAGUGACUUGACCUUAGUGUCUUUAGUGUGCUCCCACAUUGAAGUCUACUUUUUGGGUCCAUGCACCUACUUAUUUCUAAACAUUUAGAGCGCAACAAUACCCCUGCCUCCUGAUGUGCCAUAUAACCUGUAUCUCUCCAAGUGUGUGUGUGUGUGUGUGUGUGUGUGUGUGUGUGUGUGUGUGUGUGUGUGUGUGUGUGUGUGUGUGUGUGUGUGUGUGUGAGAAUGUGUGCACGCAGAUAUAAGAAGUUGGGGUUGAUGAUCCACAUGAUGGUGAUGGACCAGGACAGCUCUGGACCUCCUGACUGGCAGCUCCAUCCUCAACCUCUCUUCCUGCCCUUCACACAUGUGCAGGCAGCCAGUUUUCUGAAAGAUGGUUGAUGUCAGUACCAACAUGUUGUGAUGGAGGCUUCCACCUGAGCUGAACACAGAAACUUGCACACAGUGAUGGAAGCAGUCGUUCCUGUUCAGCAUCGAUAUGCCAGUAAUGGGUUUGAUGAGCCACAGCAUGGUGAUGGGCAAUCAGCAUCAGGACCAGGGCAGCUCACAAGGAGAACCUCCUGCCCUGCCUCGUCAUCCUCAACCUCCCAUCUCCCUGCUCUUCACACAUGUGCAGGCACGGAGCCAGUUUUCAGAGGGAAGGCUGAUGACACCAGCAACUUUGGUUCUGAACCUGAUCAACCCAGCACCAACCACUGUGCCGCUCCUCCUCUGCCAACUGCACCACAUGGCUCCACCAUCUCAAAAAGGCACAGACACUACUCCACUUCCUGCGAAGGAUGAGAGAAGAGCCGACCGCCCCACAUCGGCACUCACCACCUUCUACAGGGGUGUCAUUGAGAGCAUCCUGACCAGCAGCCUCUCUGUCUGGCAUGGCAGCCGUCAAGCUGAAGACUAGAAGGCAGUACAGAGAGUGUGGUGAGCUCGGCAGAAAAGCUCAUAAGAUCACUACCAGCCAUUCAGGAUCUGUACACUUCACACUGUUCCAAGAGGGCAAUGAACAUCAUAAAGACACAACUCAUCCAGCAUACAGACUGUUCUUCUUACUACCAUCAGGGAAGCGCUAGCCCGGCAUGCGGUGCCGCACAAGCACACUGGGAAACGGCUUCUUUCCACAAGCCAUCAGUCUCCUCAACGUUCUGAAGAAAACCACAUGAAUAUUCCAAGGACACUGGAGAAUAUUCCAUGAACACUUCUUUCACCAUGCCACUUACACUUUACUCAUUGCACCUUAUAUACAGCAUCUUCACAUCACCUGUAUGAUCUCCUCCUGCCAUGUGUGUGUGUGUGUGUGUGUGUGUGUGUGUGUGUCCACUGUGUUUGUGUAUUUAUUGUCCAUCAUAGUGUCUCUGUGUGACUGUAUUUAUUGAAUGUAUCAGUCUGUAUUUCAUGUCAAUGCAUUAUUUUUAGUUAUUAGUUAAACUGCACAUUGGAGACUGGUCAAACACAAUUUCAAACUUUGUGUUAACCCUCCAUAGAUUUUUGUCUAAUCUACUGUACUAUUCAGGCUAUCAACAGACCACACAGUUGAGUGCUGUUUUAUGCACUCUGAAUAUGAGGAGAAGGAGGUGACCGUUCACACUUCAUAGUGUAAAAGUAAACAGAAAUAAAUUUUCACAUUUCA